UACGGGGGGAGCAAGCGUUGUUCGGAAUUACUGGGCGUAAAGCGCGCGUAGGCGGAUUUGCAAGUCGGGGGUGAAAGCCCGAGGCUCAACCUCGGAACUGCCCUCGAUACUGCAAAUCUCGAGUCCGAGAGAGGUGAGUGGAAUUCCUAGUGUAGAGGUGAAAUUCGUAGAUAUUAGGAAGAACACCAGUGGCGAAGGCGGCUCACUGGCUCGGUACUGACGCUGAGGCGCGAAAGCGUGGGGAGCAAACAGG
rnacentral:rRNA from 1 species